CUGCACCUGACAGGACUGUUUCAGUUUGCACUUUGGUCUUUUUGUUUCAGUGUUCAGAUAAAUAAAGGUCAUGAACUCUUACCACGCUGCUCUUUGGUCCGAUUCCUCCUCAUCAGACGACGACACACGUUACAGUGAUUUGCCUUCCAGUCCCAUCAUUACUGUCUCAGUGAGGUGAAGGAAGGGACCCCUGUCAGUUUGAACUGCUCUGCUGUCACUCCCUGUCCCGAACACCCCCCUGAGCUGACAUGGACUCUCCCAACACAGUUCACACCUGAGAACCAACUGCAGGAGAAUUCAGACCAAACCAAAUCAGUUCUCUCCACGGUGAUCUUCACUCCAUCAUACCUUCAUCAUGAGAAGAACAUCACUUGUACUGCAGUCUACCCAGUAGGGACAAGCAACAAGACAGCUGAACAUAACAUGAUGCUUAACGUUUCAUUCUCUCCUAAGGACACCUCGGCCUCCAUCAGUCCAGCUGAUCCAGUAUUAGUGGGCAGCUGUGUUAAUCUGACCUGCAGCAGUACAGCCAACCCUCCUGUGACAACCUUCAUCUGGUUCCGGAUCUGUGG